rnacentral:rRNA from 1 species
UACGUAGGCAGCAAGCGUUGUUCGGAGUUACUGGGCGUAAAGGGUGUGUAGGCGGUUAUUUAAGUUUGGUGUGAAAUCUCCCGGCUCAACCGGGAGGGUGCGCCGAAUACUGAAUGACUUGGAGUGCGGGAGAGGAAAGUGGAAUUCCUGGUGUAGCGGUGAAAUGCGUAGAUAUCAGGAGGAGCACCGGUGCUGUAGACGGCUUUCUGGACCGUAACUGAGGCUGAGACACGAAAGCGUGGGUAGCAAACAGG